ensembl:lncRNA LOC103691935 uncharacterized LOC103691935
CACAGAACGUGGCCAGCGUUUCAAUUCUGGGCCCUUGGCAAAAUGUGUCUGGUCGAGUUCUUUGGGGCUUCGUUAAAUGAAGUAUGCUGGUCUCUUCCUGGGAAGAUGCAGCUGUACGGAAGGGUGGCUUUGAGUCAGAAAGAGAGUUACUUAGUAGCAAAAGUGCUCAUCCAGUCUGCAUGCCUGGCCGUCAAGAAGAUUAAUACGGCCCUUCAAAGACUUGGAUGGAUUUGUGGACCCUGCCGUCCUUGAAACCACAGUAUCUGAAAUUCCAGCUGCCUGGGAGCUUCUCAGAGGGUUCAAGCCUACAUCCCCAGAACCUGAGAAGCAGUUCCUCCUCCAACGAGUUUUUCAAGACAAGGAUUCCUUGUGUCAGCCCUGGCCAUCCUGGAACUUGCUCCGUAGACCAAGCUGGCCUUGAACUCAGAAAUCUGCCUCUGCCUCCAGAGUGCUGGAUUAAAGGUGUGCACCACCAUCCUGCC